rnacentral:rRNA from 1 species
AUUGAACGCUGGCGGCAGGCCUAACACAUGCAAGUCGAGCGAGCGGCGGACGGGUGAGUAAUGCCUGGGAAUUGCCCAGUCGAGGGGGAUAACAGUUGGAAACGACUGCUAAUACCGCAUACGAUUGGAUUGCCCAGGUGGGAUUAGCUAGUUGGUGAGGUAAUGGCUCACCAAGGCGACGAUCCCUAGCUGGUCUGAGAGGAUGGUCAGCCACACUGAAACGGAGACCCGGUCCAGACUCCUACGGGAGGGAGGAAGGGGGAAUAUUGCACAAGGGGGGAAACCCAGAUGCAGACAUGCCGCGUGUGUGAAGAAGGCCUGCGGGUUGUAAAGCACUUUCAGCGAAGAGGCGUUACUCGCAGAAGAAGCACCGGCUAACUCCGUGCCAGCGGCCGCGUAAUAC